GUUCUACAGGUAUGGAGCUUCAUGUUUCUUGCUAUGCCCUUAGAACAAAUCUUUCACUGAAUGGUGGAAAUAAGGAGGCACUGGUUUCAAUCACCUACUCAGAAAAAAGAAGGAAGAAUGAAGAAUUAUAGAAGAGCUGAAGUUGGAAGGCACCUCAAAGAUCCUCCAGUUCCAGCCACCAUACCAAGGGCAGAGUUGCCACCUACUAAAUCAGGCUGCUCAGGGCCCUAACCAACCUGGCCUGGAAGGUUGAAAGGCUGGUCGGUUUUAACCUUGUAAGGCUGGAAAUGGUCACAUAAGUAGUCUGAAAGCAAAAUGCUGCAUCCCAAUUUUGAUCAAAAAUAAUAUAUUUUUUUAAUUCGAGCAGAAAAGCUCAUCAUCUCAUUUAGAUUUCAUGAAAAUGUUUUACAACAAAAUGAAGUUUUUCUUAUCCCUCAGAAUCAGUUCAACCUUGAAACCAGAUUUGAUUAUUUUUCUGCUUUUAGCAACUCUUGUUCUAUCAAAGGAUCACUGAACAACAGGUUUAAUGUUUGCUGCUCAGAACUGAAAUGACAAUGAAAACUAAUCCCAUACAUCGAUGGAUGCUGGAACAAUGGAGAGAAAGUUGUCCAUUUUGACAGACAUUUUCUCAACCACUAUUUUUCUGACCCGUACUUCAAGCCCAUCAACUGCCGACUUCUCAGCACAAAGAAUCCAGAAGCAGUGCCAUGAGUCCAUACACUCAAGCCAUGCAUAAGAAUUUGCAAGAAGAGAGAAAAUGUCUACAGAUUAAUUUAUUUGGAUUUAUUUGGUCAGCGGUAAUAACAUUUCAGCAUCCAAGCAGAAUAGAGAUUGAUGACAAAGAAAAAACAUGUAAAAAACAAAUGCAAUGGACACAUUGAUCCAUCCCCACAGUGCAUGUAUGGAUGCAAGACUUUUGUGCUAGUUCUGAGUUGUACAUCCACUUAGCAUCCUGCUGAAAUUCUAGGCUGACUCUGAAGCUGUUGUUGACCAGCUGGUUAGCAUCAUCUUUCUACAUGCUGUGACCACACUGAACCUGCUUACAAGGGAACAUCAGAGUGCAAGAAACAUAAGACUCAAGGCAACACUAGUUUUGUACUUCAUCCUGUAUCUCACAUUAGCAAGAACUGGACAUUUCAGAGGAAAAUAUAAGAUACAAGAAUCAUAGAUGCACACUUUGUCCUAGUAUAUCUCGUUAUGCUUUGGCAUAGGCCAAAGGAUAAAAGAGGAAAGGGAAAAUAAUCCAUUAAGAUGUGGUUGAGUAAAUCGUUUCAUGUGCACUUAAAUACUGAUGCCUUGUCUAAGCAGGAGGAGAAUAACUGAAGGCUAUGAAUGUACAGUGGGUUUGGUUCUGGAUUUCUUAACUUCAAUAAAAUCUCAUUGAGAUCUCCUUUCACACCAGUGUUCUUUGUGGACGAGCCUUGAGAAGUCUUACAGGAAGGACCUGGCUCAGGAAAAAUUCUUUCUUAAUCAGUUGUGGGAAAAAAGAAAAAAAACAACAAACAGUUUUGUGGCGAAGUUACACCAUACCUAGUGGAUGACUGUGAAAUGCCAACUUUAUGUGAAACAUAAUUAUGUGCCACAUGUGGAAAAGCACCAUCAGCAACAUUGAUGAAGUGCAAGCAGUCAUCUGAAUUUAGUCUGUCACUUCUUGAUGAACAUGACAGCUUUAUGAUUAUUAAGAUAAUGGCUGAAAUCCGUUGUACCAUGAAAAUGCCACUCAUUACACUCCACCAACUUCAAUUUUGUGCCUUGUUUUCAAAGGCACUGUGUAUCAGGGUGCAUCUCUGCUUUGAAGAGCUGUGCCAUUACCUCCUGGGUAACAAGGAGAAGAAAAUGAAUAGAGGCUGACAUAUGAAGUGCCAUUAUAGGAAAAUGGCUGAUUAUUAGCUUGUGCUUGCUAGUGGAUUUACAGAGCUUAGAUCUGUACAAAAAACUCAGAAACCCAGUGAGUGGCUCAAAUUUCAGAUGCAAGUUGGAAGCCCAUCAGUACCCACAUAAUUGUUACUGGAGUCCCCAUGGGUCUCCAGGCUUGGACUUCCUUUGCAAUGACUUGGUUGAUCUGGAAGCAGC